CUCAUUGGCUGUCUGUCAAGUGCAUUCAUGGACACAGUUGGAGCAAUGACACGCCACUCUAACUGACUGAGGAGGAAGAGUGCAUUUUUCACAUUUUAUAUAUAUUGGAGUUUGUUUUUUUUAAUAAUGCCCCCCAUAUGUAUUGGACUGAUAUUAAUUCUCAUGUUGCUGUUGUUUCAAGGAGUGUGACUGUGCAGAUACAGUAGGGAGGAACUAUAACACUGCUGGCUGGAUGCUGGAGGAAGUAAGACAGAUCAGAUGCCAGAAUGGGUGAUCUCCAACAAGAAAGACACAUAUUAAUAACAUAUUAAUCACAAUCAACCUAAGCCCUAUUUUUUAAAUAAUAAAACAUGAAUGACUGCAUUAUUUUGUAUUUUACCAAAUCACUAUUAUUGUUUUGUUGUUGUUUUGUUUUACAUUGCGAAUAUUCAUUUCCAACAAUAUUUAAAUCCACUAAUAAUGUGUUCUGCAAACCAGAAUACUUUGAUUUCUGAAUUUCUUGCCUUCCUUAAAGAGUUGAAAUUAUUAGGAUAACUAUUUUUCUGACAUAUUCUCCAUGUCCAAAGAGAAAUUGCAUAUAUUGUCAUCUCAUAAUUGACACAGAUGUUUUUAUUUUUCAACAAAAAGUACCCUAGUUUUCUUAGAAUAUUAGAUACCUAAUAAUUAGCAACUGAUAUCUGAUUGUGUGAAUGUAUGGAGAUAAAAAUGACUUUAUUGAAUGCAGUUCAUUUUAUUUCAGUACUUGCAUUUUCAGAUUUCAUUAUUGAUUCAGCCCUUUUUUCUCAUACAAAUAGUAAAUGGUAUUGUUUUAUGAUUCUAAUUUUUUUUUUUUUACCGCACCUUAUAGUAAACAGGUCCUAAAUUUGAAUCUUGGAUAUGGUCCAUUUUUCUUUGAGUUUGCAUGACCUUCCCAGUGAUACAUGGAUAUCAGCCAGUUGCUCUGCAGAAGUCACUCUCCAAUGACAUGUAAGGUUGAUAAGAGACUAAAAUCAUUAAAGUGUUUACCUGUU